AGCUACAGGCUUAACACAUGCAAGUCGAGGGGCAGCAUUUUAGUUUGCUUGCAAACUGAAGAUGGCGACCGGCGCACGGGUGAGUAACACGUAUCCAACCUGCCGAUAACUCCGGAAUAGCCUUUCGAAAGAAAGAUUAAUACCGGAUAGCAUACGAAUAUCGCAUGAUAUUUUUAUUAAAGAAUUUCGGUUAUCGAUGGGGAUGCGUUCCAUUAGUUUGUUGGCGGGGUAACGGCCCACCAAGACUACGAUGGAUAGGGGUUCUGAGAGGAAGGUCCCCCACAUUGGAACUGAGACACGGUCCAAACUCCUACGGGAGGCAGCAGUGAGGAAUAUUGGUCAAUGGGCGAGAGCCUGAACCAGCCAAGUAGCGUGAAGGAUGAAGGCUCUAUGGGUCGUAAACUUCUUUUAUAUGGGAAUAAAGUUUUCCACGUGUGGAAUUUUGUAUGUACCAUAUGAAUAAGGAUCGGCUAACUCCGUGCCAGCAGCCGCGGUAAUACGGAGGAUCCGAGCGUUAUCCGGAUUUAUUGGGUUUAAAGGGAGCGUAGGUGGAUUGUUAAGUCAGUUGUGAAAGUUUGCGGCUCAACCGUAAAAUUGCAGUUGAAACUGGCAGUCUUGAGUACAGUAGAGGUGGGCGGAAUUCGUGGUGUAGCGGUGAAAUGCUUAGAUAUCACGAAGAACUCCGAUUGCGAAGGCAGCUCACUAGACUGUCACUGACACUGAUGCUCGAAAGUGUGGGUAUCAAACAGGAUUAGAUACCCUGGUAGUCCACACAGUAAACGAUGAAUACUCGCUGUUUGCGAUAUACAGUAAGCGGCCAAGCGAAAGCAUUAAGUAUUCCACCUGGGGAGUACGCCGGCAACGGUGAAACUCAAAGGAAUUGACGGGGGCCCGCACAAGCGGAGGAACAUGUGGUUUAAUUCGAUGAUACGCGAGGAACCUUACCCGGGCUUAAAUUGCAACAGAAUAUAUUGGAAACAGUAUAGCCGUAAGGCUGUUGUGAAGGUGCUGCAUGGUUGUCGUCAGCUCGUGCCGUGAGGUGUCGGCUUAAGUGCCAUAACGAGCGCAACCCUUAUCUUUAGUUACUAACAGGUCAUGCUGAGGACUCUAGAGAGACUGCCGUCGUAAGAUGUGAGGAAGGUGGGGAUGACGUCAAAUCAGCACGGCCCUUACGUCCGGGGCUACACACGUGUUACAAUGGGGGGUACAGAAGGCGGCUACCUGGUGACAGGAUGCUAAUCCCAAAAACCUCUCUCAGUUCGGAUCGAAGUCUGCAACCCGACUUCGUGAAGCUGGAUUCGCUAGUAAUCGCGCAUCAGCCAUGGCGCGGUGAAUACGUUCCCGGGCCUUGUACACACCGCCCGUCAAGCCAUGAAAGCCGGGGGUACCUGAAGUACGUAACCGCAAGGAGCGUCCUAGGGUAAAACUGGUAAUUGGGGCU
rnacentral:rRNA from 1 species